GAUGAACGCUGGCGGCGUGCCUAAUACAUGCAAGUCGAGCGAACAGAUGAGGAGCUUGCUCCUCUGACGUUAGCGGCGGACGGGUGAGUAACACGUGGAUAACCUACCUAUAAGACUGGGAUAACCUCGGGAAACCGGAGCUAAUACCGGAUAAUAUAUUGAACCGCAUGGUUCAAUAGUGAAAGACGGUUUUGCUGUCACUUAUAGAUGGAUCCGCGCCGCAUUAGCUAGUUGGUAAGGUAACGGCUUACCAAGGCAACGAUGCGGAGCCGACCUGAGAGGGUGAUCGGCCACACUGGAACUGAGACACGGCCCAGACUCCUACGGGAGGCAGCAGUAGGGAAUCUUCCGCAAUGGGCGAAAGCCUGACGGAGCAACGCCGCGUGAGUGAUGAAGGUCUUCGGAUCGUAAAACUCUGUUAUUAGGGAAGAACAAAUGUGUAAGUAACUAUGCACGUCUUGACGGUACCUAAUCAGAAAGCCACGGCUAACUACGUG
rnacentral:rRNA from 1 species